AACGAACGCUGGCGGCAUGCCUAACACAUGCAAGUCGAACGAGACCUUCGGGUCUAGUGGCGCACGGGUGCGUAACGCGUGGGAACCUGCCCUUAGGUUCGGAAUAACUCCCCGAAAGGGGUGCUAAUACCGGAUAAUGUCUUCGGACCAAAGAUUUAUCGCCUUUGGAUGGGCCCGCGUUGGAUUAGCUAGUUGGUAGGGUAAAAGCCUACCAAGGCGACGAUCCAUAGCUGGUCUGAGAGGAUGAUCAGCCACACUGGGACUGAGACACGGCCCAGACUCCUACGGGAGGCAGCAGUGGGGAAUAUUGGACAAUGGGCGAAAGCCUGAUAAAGCAAUGCCGCGUGAGUGAUGAAGGCCUUAGGGUUGUAAAGCUCUUUUACCCGGGAUGAUAAUGACAGUACCGGGAGAAUAAGCACCGGCUAACUACGUG
rnacentral:rRNA from 1 species